UGAUCUGAUGUGGCUACUGGGAACUGUAGCAGUGUCGCCAGUCAAAAUCAGCAACGAUAAAUUGAUCAGUGCGAGGAGAGGGCUCUGGAAACAGUGUAUAGGCACGUGAUUCGUGUUAAAGGGAAUCUAAUCAGAAGCCGGUUCCCGAGAGAGACCUGGGUUGAUAGCUGCUGGAAUGGAAUACAAGGUGUUGCCGACCCAAUCCCACCAUUAUUUGUUUCUUUUCUAAAACAAUUAUAAAAGUUGCCCUCCCUCUUCUCUCCUUUGAUGCUUUCGCUUUUGCUUGAAGCCAAAGUCCGUCCAUUAUUUUAUACAGUUUUUUAGAGGUUUGGUUUGAAUGUUUGGUAGCAAGCCACAUCCUGUGAAUUUUUAAUCUUUAUAUUUAUGUAUAUAUACAAUAUAUUUAUGUAUGGUUCACUAUAUAUGGGUAGGUUUAUAGUUAUAUAACUUGCUCUCUGUGGUUCUUUGGAUCUUUGAGAUAGAUUUAUUUCAGUGGAAAACAUCUGGGGUUUCGAGCGAUAAAGGAAGUCCUUCCUGCUUCUGCUGUCCCACUGAACUUUACAUGGAUUGAUAGAAUCGAUCUAUGUAUUUCAUGACUCAUUAGAUCGAGCGCUAGAUGCGAAGUCAAGAAUCCAACAGCGAAGAAUCCUGGCGUCAACCAAAAUCCCGUAUAUGUGUGUAUAUCUACUAACAGAAUAAUUUUCCCCUUUUUUGGGCUUAACUAGUGUUAAUUGAGUUGCUUUUAACGGAUACUGUUUCUCAAUGUAGUUGUUACAUAAUUUAUGUCUACCCAUUUUCUCGU